rnacentral:rRNA from 1 species
UCCAGCAGUUCUUGCCUAGUUUCCCACUGAAGCUAAGCAGGGUUAAUCCUGACAGUACCUGGUUGGGAGACCUCCUGGGGAAAACUAAGGUUGCUGUUGGAA